rnacentral:rRNA from 1 species
CCUACGGGUGGCAGCAGUGGGGAAUAUUGGACAAUGGGGGCAACCCUGAUCCAGCGACGCCGCGUGAGUGAAGCAGUAUUUCGGUACGUAACGCUCUAUCAGCAGGAAAGAAAAUGACGGUACCUGACUAAGAAGCCCCGGCUAACUACGUGCCAGCAGCCGCGGUAAUACGUAGGGGGCAAGCGUUAUCCGGAUGUACUGGGUGUAAAGGGAGCGUAGACGGCAGCGCAAGUCUGGUGGGAAAUGCCGGGGCCCAACCCCGGUACUGCUAUGGACACUGUGUAGCUGGAGUGCAGGAGAGGUAAGCGGAAUGAGUGGUGUAGCGGUGAAAUGCAUAGAUAUCAGGAGGAACACCGGCGGCGAAGGCGGCUUACUGGACUGUAACUGACGUUGAGGCUCGAAGGCGUGGGGAGCAAACAGGAUUAGAUACCCUGGUAGUC